rnacentral:misc_RNA from 1 species
GAUGAAGAACGCAGCGAAAUGCGAUAAGUAAUGUGAAUUGCAGAAUUCAGUGAAUCAUCGAAUCUUUGAACGCACAUUGUGCCCCCUGGUAUUCCGGGGGGCAUGCCUGUUCGAGCGUCAUUUCACCACUCAAGCCUCGCUUGGUAUUGGGCAUCGCGGUCCGCCGCGUGCCUCAAAUCGACCGGCUGGGUCUUCUGUCCCCUAAGCGUUGUGGAAACUAUUCGCUAAAGGGUGUUCGGGAGGCUACGCCGUAAAACAACCCCAUUUCUAAGGUUGACCUCGGAUCAGGUAGGGAUACCCGCUGAACUUAAGCAUAUCAAUAAGCGGAGGA